rnacentral:rRNA from 1 species
CAGCCGCCGCGGUAAUGCGAAGGGUGCAAGCGUUAAUCGGAAUUACUGGGCGUAAAGCGUGCGUAGGCGGUGAGUUAAGUCUGCUGUGAAAUCCCCGGGCUCAACCUGGGAAUGGCAGUGGAUACUGGCUCGCUAGAGUGUGUCAGAGGAUGGUGGAAUUCCCGGUGUAGCGGCGAAAUGCGUAGAGAUCGGGAGGAACAUCAGUGGCGAAGGCGGCCAUCUGGGACAACACUGACGCUGAGGCACGAAAGCGUGGGGAGCAAACAGGAUUAGAGACCCCCGUAGUCCCUGUCUCUUAUAC